AAACAGUGCAUGUUUACAAAAAUGCGUACAUAUGAAGCUACACACAUUAAAUAUAUUAGAAGAGCCUCCUGUGGGGAAGAAGGUCAUGAGAGUGGGGAAUGGGGAUUAAAAAGGAAAUAAAAGGGGAAAAAAGACUAUUAAAAAACAUUUUUUUUAGCUGAUCUUAACCACAAUCCCAGGGAGCAGGGAGCCUGGUGGGCUGCCGUCUCUGGGGUCGCUCACGACUGAAGCGACUUAGCAGCAGCAGCAGCAGCAGCAACCACAAUUCUUAGCUGUUCCCCAUGGAGUGAAGCAUUUUUCCGAGGGCGAGAGGAAGGGAGGAAGGUACGCAUUUUUACUUAGGACAGUCCGGAGCGAUUUCUGACUGCUCAGAGCGCACAGGUGUAGACGACAGGAUGGAACCCUACAAUUAGCUAGAGAUGUUCUUAGUGAAGAGUGAUUCUGGAUACAUCGUGUGUCUGGGUGUGUUCCCAGUGACCACCCCACAAACCCUCCUUUAUCCGAGCGUGGCAUGAGUAGCACUGGAAGACUUUUGAAUGAAAAUCCUGCAUUGAAAUCGGAUUUGUCUUUUGAUGUGACAGUAGACAUGUCAGCUUUGGGAGCAGAAUCCGGAAACUGUCAACACUGAAUUUCCUUUCGCGUCUGCCCAACGCUGCUCCUAUCCAUAAGCGCCUGGGAAGGAACAAGCAGCAUCUCUGAGGCUCAGUUUCCUUAGCCCUAGAAUGAGGCGCUAAAACUGCUCUAUUCAUAAGGAAGUGCAUAGAGGACAGUAGCAAGCUACCCCAGCGUCAGGGCCCCGGGCUAACAGGGGCUGUCGCGCCUGGAGCUGCACAUUUUGGACAGUGCAAACAUGUGCAUCAUCACCAGAGCACGACGGGAUCACCCAGGCCUGCACCGCCGCGUGGAACUUUGUGACUUCGGGCAGCUCCUACCUUCUGAGCCUCCUUUCUUGCCUAUAAAACGGAGACAGCGGUGCCAGCCUCAUUGGCUCCGAUGACUGAAUUGACAAGAGUGACUCAGUGAGUCACCUGCACAGUGCCCGGAGCCUGGCAGGCCUUGGCAGUGCCAGCCCCCGUGUCUUGCACCUGGUUGCUGAGGCUUAGGGUGGUUACCAAGCCUUCCCUUCUCUCUCUGCGGCCCAGGCAGGUCUUGUCACAGGCCAUUUUGUGGCAGAGUGAGCCCCUACCCAGACUCUCCGGGAGGCGGCAUAGGAACAACAGAAGGAAAGGCAGGAGCAAAGACUGCUGCCCUGUUUUAUCCACCGGCUGCCACUCACUAUGGUGUGUCCCUCCAGGACCUAGCUUCAGACAGGGACUCCAGCGGAGAACUGGUGUAUCUGUAUACCCGUGUUCCUAGCAGCACUGCUUACAACACCCAAAAAGCAGAAACAACCCAAGUAUCCGUCAACAGUAUGUUGUGGCCCUUCCCCAAUUCUGGAGAAUCACCUUCCAAUCCUGUGGCAAAUCAUCCAGGCCCAUCUCCCAAUCCUGGGUCAAGACAGGUCAAUUACUUCAAAUUGGUAUAGAUAUCAAAGAACUCUUUGAAUUCUAAAAUAGGCUUUUAAAAUGUGUGACAAAGAUUCCACUUUGAUAGAAAGGGUUUUAGGAUUCCCAAAGCUUUCUGUUGCCUUGGAUGUCAAAAAUAAAGCCCAAAAGAACUCAGGAUAUCUAACUUAUGUCAUAAAAUAACUGUUUGGGGGAAUUAUGUGUAAAAUACCAAAUUAAUCUCACCUCACACAUUUGAGAUAAAGUUCCAGUUCCCUGGGGACAGGCAGGACAAAUAUUACCUGGCAAAGAUAUUAGAAGGGUUCAAGUC
ensembl:lncRNA